CACGUAGGGGGCGAGCGUUGUCCGGAUUCAUUGGGCGUAAAGAGCUCGUAGGCGGCUCGGCAAGUCGGGUGUGAAACCUCCAGGCUCAACCUGGAGACGCCACUCGAUACUGCUGUGGCUAGAGUCCAGUAGGGGAGCGUGGAAUUCCUGGUGUAGCGGUGAAAUGCGCAGAUAUCGUGAGGAACACCAGAGGCGAAGGCGGUUACCUGGACAAUUACUGACGCUCAGGCACGAAAGCAUGGGGAGCAAAAGGG
rnacentral:rRNA from 1 species